GCUAACACAUGCAGUCGAACAGCAGCAACAGGAGAGCUUGCUCUCUGGGUGGCGAGUGGCGGACGGGUGAGGAAUACAUCGGAAUCUACCUUUUCGUGGGGGAUAACGUAGGGAAACUUACGCUAAUACCGCAUACGACCUACGGGUGAAAGUGGGGGACCGCAAGGCCUCACGCGAUUAGAUGAGCCGAUGUCCGAUUAGCUAGUUGGCGGGGUAAUGGCCCACCAAGGCGACGAUCGGUAGCUGGUCUGAGAGGAUAAUCAGCCACACUGGAACUGAGACACGGUCCAGACUCCUACGGGAGGCAGCAGUGGGGAAUAUUGGACAAUGGGCGCAAGCCUGAUCCAGCCAUACCGCGUGGGUGAAGAAGGCCUUCGGGUUGUAAAGCCCUUUUGUUGGGAAAGAAAUCCUGUCGAUUAAUACUCGGUGGGGAUGACGGUACCCAAAGAAUAAGCACCGGCUAACUUCGUGCCAGCAGCCGCGGUAAUACGAAGGGUGCAAGCGUUACUCGGAAUUACUGGGCGUAAAGCGUGCGUAGGUGGUGGUUUAAGUCUGCUGUGAAAGCCCUGGGCUCAACCUGGGAAUUGCAGUGGAUACUGGAUCACUAGAGUGUGGUAGAGGGAUGCGGAAUUUCUGGUGUAGCAGUGAAAUGCGUAGAGAUCAGAAGGAACAUCCGUGGCGAAGGCGGCAUCCUGGGCCAACACUGACACUGAGGCACGAAAGCGUGGGGAGCAAACAGGAUUAGAUACCCUGGUAGUCCACGCCCUAAACGAUGCGAACUGGAUGUUGGGUGCAACUUGGCACCCAGUAUCGAAGCUAACGCGUUAAGUUCGCCGCCUGGGGAGUACGGUCGCAAGACUGAAACUCAAAGGAAUUGACGGGGGCCCGCACAAGCGGUGGAGUAUGUGGUUUAAUUCGAUGCAACGCGAAGAACCUUACCUGGUCUGACAUCAACGGAACUUUCCAGAAGAUGGAUUGGUGCCUUCGGGAACCGUGA
rnacentral:rRNA from 1 species